rnacentral:misc_RNA from 1 species
AGCAAACCAACUAUCACGGCCUUCCCCUCCAGUUAGACUGUCAAUGAUAGAGAUAAGAAAACUGCUAAUUAAGCUUCCUACACCGUAGGUGCUGACGUAGAGAGAAAGACCCACGCUCCUUAAUUCUCUAGGGACCUGAUCAUAGAAGAAUUCUUGCAUACCAACCAAGGUCAAUGCGUCAGCAACUCCAGACACAAUGUAUUGAGGAGUCAGCCACCAAAUGCUCAUUGGAACCGUCACAUUUGGCUUAUCAACUAGUCCAAAUUCUCGAGCAACUUCAAGCCUCUUCAUUUCAACUAGUGCAUCAAUGGCUGUGGGCCUAUCUUCUCCUGCACCUGCAGUGCUCUCCUCUUCUCGUUGAUUAAAGGAGUGAAGGGUGGAGCUGCAGUGUGGUACAUUGGCUUUCAAAAAACUCCAGGUCAAGAAAUUACUAAGAACAUGUAACAGAUGACCUUAGCAUUCAGCUCUCAUCCCUAUUAUUAUGUUGUAAAUUUAUGGAUUGCAUCAAUAAUUUCACAAACAAUCAAAGAGUUUCUAUAUAAAUCCCUAAUUCAUUGGUAAUGAACCAUCAAGAAAAAAAAAUCCAACAAUACAUUAUAGAAAAGAGAGUUAUUUUUUCCUUACCUUAAUUGUUCUGUUUCCUAUUUCUUUGUUGUAUUCAGGUCCCGACAGUUUCAAAAGACAAACUCUAACAAGUAAAAUUGGCAUCAAUCAGUAAGCAAAUCAUGGGAAUGGAGUAAGCAAAAAUGCAAGGCUUGCUUGAACUUGCUGCUGGGUUGAGGUGAGGCACCUCCCUCUGGAAACAUUAUUUCCUUCCUGGUGUUGAGGCCUUUUACAUGUUCAUUGUAGGUUGACAAAAGGAUCCAGUGCCAAAACAGAGCUAAUUUGUGAGUGAGAAUGAGAACCCAGGUAAUUAAAUCUAUUUUAGAGCACCCAUGUACCGCAUUUAUUACCACCCGAUCGAAAACAACCUCAGCUCAGUAUGUAGCAUCAAGAGCUAGAGACCCUUCAUUUGAGAAACUAAUGGAGAAAUACAAAAACCUUAUUAAAGUAAUUGCCAUUCAAGACCUCAUUCUCGCAAACCCCACCAAUAGUCCAUCAGUUUCCCUUGAUUUCCUUUCUAGACUUUCCCAGAAGCUUCACCUCAACCGUGGUGCAGCCUCUUUCCUUCGUAGAUACCCUCACAUUUUCCACAUAUUCCACAAUCCCACCUUGUCUCAAUCUUUUUGCAAAUUAACUGAUGCUGCUCUCGAAAUUUCUCACCAAGAAGCAGAGGCUGUUAAUGCUUCCUUGCCUGUUGUUGUCAAUAGGUUGGUACGGCUGUUAUCAAUGUCCACAUCCAAGUCUUUGCCACUUCGUGCUAUCUUUAAGGUUUGGAGGGAGCUGGGGCUUCCUGAUGAUUUUGAAGACUCAGUGAUAUCCAGAAACCCACAACUUUUUAGAUUGUAUGAUGCCCCUGAACCCAAUACACAUGUCCUGAAACUGGUUGAUGAAAUUCCUAACAACCAUUUCACAGCAGCAGUUGAAAAUUGGAGAGUGACCGAGUGUUGUAAGGAUGAUUGCAGUGUUGAUCGAACAGAAAUGCAAUUUAGUUUCAAACAUCAGUACCCUCCUGGAAUGUGGUUGAGCAAGAGUUUCAGGGCUAAGGUCAAGGAAUGGCAGAGAUUGCCAUAUGUAGGACCCUAUGAGGAGUUGGGAGAAAAGAAGAGGUCUAAGGCAGGACUGAUGGGAUUGGAGAAACGGUCAGUUGCGAUUGUACAUGAAUUUUUGAGUUUGACAGUGGAAAAGAUGGUGGAAGUGGAGAAGAUUAGCCAUUUUCGGAAAUGUUUUGGGAUUGAUUUGAACAUAAGGGAUUUGUUCUUGGAUCAUCCAGGCAUAUUUUAUUUGUCUACCAAAGGAAAGAGACAUACUGUCUUCCUUAGGGAAGCAUAUGAGAGGGGUCGCUUGAUUGAUCCGGAUCCUGUAUAUGAUGUCAGGAGAAAGUUACUUGAUAUAGUUAUUCUGGGUCGCUGCAGAUCGCUUGCUGCCAAACUAAAGCCUGGUGAGAUUGGAAGGGUUGAGGAAUAUGGGUUACAAGAUGAGAAUAAUGACUGAAGGUCAUGAAUUUUCUUAUGUAGUACCACUAGUUGCUAGCUUUGUUUAUCUGCAUGGAUAUGCACAUUUGGGGGAUUAAUCUGUUAAAUUUUUAGCAUGGUAUGCUCAUAUUUGAUUGGGCUUUUUUGAUGGAAAAAGAAAGGAAAAUGAUACAAUAUCCACCUGUUGCAGAAACUAUCGUGAGGCUUUGAUUCACUUUAUCUGGGUGGCAUUGAACCGAGACCCUGAUCCCAAUAGCUAACAAGGUAUGUUUUGUUGAAGCAGAGCUCUAGAAGUGGGUCUUUUUGGUACUGCUGUUUUUGAGUUGUUGAGAAAAAUAUUAAGUUAUUAAAAAUUUAUUUUAAAUUGAAUCUGACAUUUUGUAACUAUAGAAACUUUAAAACUGUUAAACAGCUUUUCGAAAAAUGUUUUCUUAAUAAAAUGUAAAAUUACGUUUUUUAAAAUGUAGAAUUAAAUUAUAAUGCCAAACGGAGACGCUUGCGUGGGAAAUGACUUGUCUUUCUUUUUA